CCCGUGGGCACUCCAGCCGCCGCAGCCGCCACCGCCAUCCGCGGGCCCCACUCCCGGGACGCUUCCUGCGCGGCGCCCCGAGCACCAUGGCUCGCCGGGCCGCCCUCGCGCUGCUGCUGGUCGGCCUGCUCAGCACCCUGGUGCCCGCCCGCGGUCAAGAUUUCGAUUUGUCAGAUGCCCUUGGUGACAACGACAAGAAGCCCACGGCACCGCCCAAGAGACCCAGCGCUGACGAUGAUGGGUUCAGUCUAGAAGAUGCCCUCGGCGGGGGAGGAAACAGUAAGUACCUUUGGGAAGUCUGCUGGCUGGCUGACUUGCUACGAUCUCCAAAUUAUCAUCGUUCCCAAGAGUCUUGUCCCUCUGAAGUCAGAACGAGCUGUUACCACAAACACGUAGGGAAUGGUGUGUUGUCGUUGACCCUUGUUGGGUUUCUCAUUGUCACCUGUCUGCUUUUGCUUUUAUUUUUAAAAACGGGCUUGCAGCCUUUGGAAUGGCAUAAGGUCAAUGUGAACACCCUUGCCUGGGCCAGUAACCCGCACUCACGCACUCACCAGGAGCCCCAGCCUGGCUGGGAUGGUUUGAUGCCGCCAUAUUGA
rnacentral:lncRNA from 1 species